GGGCCGGUCGUCUAGUCUGGUAGGAUAGUCCCUUGGCAUGGGACAGGUCGGGGGUUCGAAACCUGCGUCGAUUCG
rnacentral:tRNA from 1 species